AAGGAGGAAGAUUUUCAGUUGUCAUAUUUUUAAACAGGAAUCUGAACAGGUUUUCCUCCAGGUGCCCUUGAGGUAGGGAAUGUAAUUGCCUGUGGAAUGUAACUCAUUUAAAUGAAGAACUGUUAGCUAGAAUUUGCAUUUUACCUACUAUUUAAUGGAAAAUGAGGUAUAAGACGGAUCUCCUGCUCCCUCAUGGAGAAAACACUACAGAGAAUCAAUGCAAGUUAGUACCAGAUUGAGAGGAAAGCUGAAACUGGAGUCUAAGCCUACAUUCUAGAGCUGUAGUGAUCUUUCUAUUUCAAUGAAAUUUUCAUUCUAGAAGAUGUCUCUCCUGGUUUCUCAGAGGAUAAAAAUCCAUAUCACAGGACUACUUCAUUGAUACUACUUUGCCUACUCCUGCCAGUGUCUGUGGAGAGAUCAAGCAAUGAUUUUAUCACUCCUGGUUUUCACCAUUUUGCACGCAUAGGUUAAUGCCAGCUGGAAGAAUAAUGCUAGGGAGAAGCCUCUCUUAAAUUAACUACUGUCUUUUGAUACCUAAAGGUAUUGAUUGUGCCACAACUAAAAUUUUCCCCACAACAACAUAAUUACAUGCAAUGAUAAAAUGUUAACAGGAGUAGGUGAAUUUUGCUAAAACAGUUGGCAGAGAUCAUAUAAUCUGCUGUAUCUUCCCCAAACCACCUGCACUGAGUUGACGAGUGUGAAAUUAAGUUUGUCUCUCAACAAGAAGUAGCUCUCAUGUUGUUUACUCUUGAAAUGCAACUGCCUCUCUUGUGAAGUAAGGUAAGCAAAUAAUCUUGUGUAGACUCAUAUAUGCAGGACUCAGGAAUCUGAAACUCUUAACACAAGAUUUAUCAGUGAUAGGGGAGGGCAGGCCAACAGCUGGGGCUUGUUUGCAUUGGUCAGAAGAAAGUCCCCAGAAAUAAAAUGCUGAGGUGUGAUGAAGAUUAGAUCCCACAGCUGCUGAGGACACCAGCAGAGCACCAUGGAGCCUCCAAGGACAUCAUGGCAUCAAAAGGUCACAGGGAAGUUCAGGAAUAUUGUCCUGGUGUGGUUGGGGAGCUCAGAGUGGUGUGAGGAGAAGGCAGGGGAAAGCUAAACUUUUCAAAGUUCUGGACAAAUGUGUGGACAGCCCGAGCAGGAGGGGCACCAAGUGGCAAGGCAGAAUGUGAAAAACCCUGUGUUUCUGCUGUAGCAUGUUUUAAUAUCAUUAAUAUUUUAUCUCUUUCUUCAUUUGCAGACUGUGUUCCCGAUGGAAUGUUUGUUCAGCCUCUAGAGUCCUCAGGGCUUUGUACAGAUUUUCUGUUCCAAGAAACAGAACGUGUUCUUUUUAAACGUGAACCUGUAGGCAGAAGUUUAUGAAUUCUAUUUAUUAUAUAACCUGUCCCUCUUGAUCUGUACUGGUGUGCCUUUCAAACCCCACUGCAGGUGCCUUUGCCGUGCCUGUCUGUAGCGAGCCCAUGAGCAGCUGGUGUGUGGAAGCCAGGCAGACCCGUUCUGCAAGUGUGUGCCUUCCUGUCACCUGUGUGUUGGACAUCCCUGGGGACACAGCUGAGGAGACCUACAGCAGCCAAGAGCCGAAGCUGGGCGGGACUGGAGUAGAAAAAUCACUGAGGAGGAACUUAAUCGUAAGAAUUACAACCCUCCCAAGGUAAUCAUCGGAGUUACUGGGAGUGGCCUCACAACCUGGGAAACGGCAGCAGGAGAGCGUCAGGAAAAGAGGACCGCAGGGCUGGGGAAGUGGUGUCAUUCAGGAAAUGGGGAUUGGAGGCCUGCUGGCUUGUAACUGAACAUGGCAGGGGAUGUGAAAAGAUUCUCACGCAUGCUGCUGGAGUGCAAUAGCAAUGACAAGCUAUGUGUUGUGCGUGAAUAUCAAACAGAAGUGAUCGUUGUCCCAGUUCUCCUGGUGGGAGCUUUUGUCAUUGUGCUCACUGUGAUCCUUUGGCUGCACUGCCGUGGCCUGCGAGCAAAGCAGGCACAAUCAGCACCAGCUGGACCCCAAGUGACGAGAAAGAAUCAGCAGGAACCCUGCUCAACAGAGAACCGCUACAUCCCGCUGAGUGAGAAAUCUGUGGAGAGCCUGCUAAAUUCUGAAUCCUUGACUCUGAAAGGAUUAGAGAUACCACGAGAGAAACUCCUACCAGACACCUUGCAGCUGAUAAAACUUGGUGCCUAUGGGAGCAUCUACAGAGCACAGUUGGAAACUGGGAGCUCUGGGAAGACUAAGACUGUGGUAUUGAAAGCCUUGCAAGACCCAGCUAGUCCCCAGAAAGUAAAGGAUUUCUUGGGAAGGAUUAAAUUCCAUCAAAAUCUUGGCCAUCAUGAGAACCUGGUUGAAUUGGUGGGAUGUUGUGUAGACCAGCUCCCACUUUAUAUGAUCAUGGAAGAUGUGUCUCUCGGUGACCUGCUGACAUUUCUAUGGACGUGUCGGAAGGAUGUAAUGGCAAUGGAUAGUGUCCCCUGUGACCUCACUGAGAAGCAGGUAUAUGAGGUUGGACAGCAGGUUGCAGCAGCUCUGGUUUAUCUCGAAGAAAAGAACUUGUUCCAUGGUGACAUUGCUGCCAGGAAUGUCCUUCUUCAUCACAACUUCACUGCUAAGCUCUGUGGUUUGGGCCUGACCUACGAAGCUCACACAUAUGGUGCCAGCUCAGUGGCAUGGAAAGUGCCUGUCAAGUGGCAGGCACCAGAGAGGCUCCUGAGCAAACCUCCUACAAUCAAGGCAGACAUAUGGUCUUUUGGAAUUCUACUGUAUGAAAUGAUUACACUAGGUGCUCCACCAUAUCCUGAGGUGCCACCUUCUGACAUCUUAUCAUACCUGCAGAAACAGAACAUUAUGAAGCAGCCCUCGAGCUGCCAGCAAGCCAUGUACUGCAUCAUGAAGUCCUGCUGGCAGUGGAGUGCAGCUCACCGACCUUCCCCAGCACAGCUCUUGUGCUCCCUGAAAGCAGCUGUGAAGACCAGCAAUGGGCACACAGUGCUGCAGGUGCCUGAGCCAGUGCUGCCUGAGCUCUAUGCUGAUCUUGCUGGAGUUGAUGUGCACAGCCUGGUGAGGGAAUACACGAUCCUCUGAAGGGUCCUUUCAUAUUUUGGUAAAGGAGAAAGAAGUCUCAGAGUUUUCCCUUUCUAAAUAGUUUGCAAGCUCAGAACGAGGUGUGUAUGUUGGAAGGGACCCCUUUGUUCUUCAAACAUCUAUAAAAUCUCCAUGCCAGACACAAGAAACUGUUAUCAUUAUGCUUAAAUUAACCUGUUGGUAUAAUUCUGCCAGUGGUCAUUUGGGAGUAAAGUGUGUUUAGGAAGCUGUAGAAAAUGUAAUGAAAGACUAGAGUUAAAGGAGUGUUAGGUUUGUGUGGCAAGGUUAUGGUGAUGGUGUGGACUGCAGAGGUGACUCCUAUGAGAAGAUGCCAGAAGCUUCCCCCAGCUCCAUGAUGGACCUGCUGCUGGUCAAGGCUGAGCCCUUCAGCAGCACUGGUAGCACCUCUGUGAUUACAUAUUUAAGAAAGUGUAAAAGAUACUGCACAACAGCAGGCGAAAGAGAGGAGUGUGAAUGACAGAGGAACAGCUCUACAAACACCCAGGGCAGGACAGAAGCAGGGGCAGGAGCUGCUCCAGAGCUGGGAUUUGCCUGAGAUUCCGUGGUACAGCCCACAGAGAGGUGGCUGAGCCCCUGCUGACCAGAGGGGUGCAGAGAUCCACCUGCAGCCCCUGGAGGAGCCCAUGCCAGAGCAGGGGGAUGUCUGAAGGAGGCUGUGACUCCAAGAGAAGCCUGUGCUGGAAAACAACCUGUCCUGGCAGAAUCUGUGGAGAGAGGAGCCCUCAUUGGAGAAGGACUGCACCUCAUGGAAGGGGAUCAUGCUGGAGUACUUCAUGAAAAACAACUCUUGGGAAGAACUCAUGUUGGAGAAAUUCCCGAAGGAUCCACUUUCUGUGGGUCCUGAGGAACUUCACUCUGGAGCAGGGAAAAAGUGUGAGGAGUCCUCCCCCUGAGGAGGAAGGAGCAGCAGAGACAAUGUGAGAUGAACUCGCCACAACUCCCAUUCUCCGUGCUGGAUGAAAUGAGGUAGAGAAAUUGGGAGUGAAGCUGAGCCUGGGAAGAAGGGAGGGGUGGAGGAAGGUGCUGCAAGAUUUGGUUUUAUUUCUCAUUAUACUUCCUAAUUUGAUUAGCAGUAAACUAAUUUUUCUCAAGUUGAGUCUGUUUUGCCUGUAACAGUAAUUGGUGAACGAUCUCUCACUGUCCUUAUCUUGGCCUGGGGGCCUUUUGUUACAGUUUCUCUCCCCUGUCCAGCUAAAAAGAGGAAAUUAUAGAGUGGCUGGAUGGGUACCUGCCAUUCAGCCAGAGUCAACUCACCAUGAGGUUUCUGGAACUUUUUCUCCGUCUUUUCUGUCCCAGGAAAAUGCAUCAGUUAGAGGAGAUGUCAUGGGGAGCAUGCUGGGGUGGUAUUUAAUAAUUCUCUGGGAUUUCUCCAGUGCUCUAUACUCUAGCUUCCCUUGGGAACAUGAGCACUGUAUUCAGACACACAAACCCACAAACAAACAAUCCCCACAUCUCCUUACCCAGCAACAAAACCAAGCUAAACCCUUCAUGUCUGUGGAUGCAGAAGUGGUUGCACAAAUGUCAUACAUCUUCAUGGAAAGUGUGCUUUCUGUGCAGGUCAGGUGAGUACUCCAAAGCUUACAUGAAUUUUUUUGAUCAUUAAUUUUAAUGGACAUGCAGACUCUGUAAAAAAUUAGAGGCACUGGAACUUGUGGCUAUUUUGAUUUUAUUUAAAAAGAAGCAGAGUCAGUCUGUGAAACAAAUUUUCUCACUUCUGUUUGUGGUUUCUAAAGUUGACCGUAUCUUAGGAUUUUUUUUUCCCUCUUAUUAUUUUGGCACUUGGAGCAUUAAAGGUCCUUGUGAAAAAAGACUAAAUGCACAUUAAAGGAAUAAUUUUACCAUUCUGUGUGAAGAGUGGAUUCAGUGUUUACUCAGCAUCCCCCCUCUUAAUAUGACUCUUUCCAUUCUGGUUUCCAUCGUUGGUCUUCUUCCAAAGACAAUGGUGAGAAGCUUUCUGUUUUUAAUGCAAAAUUACAUGAAUGAAAUAGUUGUUCUUUCUAUGUCACUUAGGCUUUGUAGGAAAUGAUGUUUUCUUCCAUAAAGAAAUGUAAUGUGAGUUCAUACAGUACAUGUGUCACCGCUAUACACGGGGAAAUUGCAAAGUCCAUUCAAGAGGAAGCAGUCAGCUUUCUGACUUUUCCCAUGGUGUUGGCUGAUUGCCACCUGGAUCUUCAUAAACCAGUUGGUGUAAAUCUGACCUGGAGAAUUGAGAUACCUUCUUUUCCAAAUGGUAAAAUAAUAACAUCCUCUUCUCUCUCCAUCACUUGAAAAUGGGUUCAAAGCUACCUGGUAAAUUAGGUCAAAUUCACAGUUAUCUUUGGUGAAUAAACUAUUAAUUUAAAAAGCAUUUGGUUGGUUCAAACCUCCCACUGAAGAGUGGAUAUUCAGAAAGGUCUUGCCUGUGAAAGGUGGGUGUGUGACAGGUAAUACAAUCCCAGAGCUGUGAAAGCAUCCCCAGUGCUGCUGCAGACCUGACAAAUAAUGCACAGGGAGCCUUGUUAAACAGAGAGCUAAAGGUAACAAAUGCAGCACUGUUCUCAGAGCACAGAAAGCAAUGCUCUGCCUUACACAAAUCCUCAUAUUUUAUUUCUGUUGUGAAAGCUCUGAUAAAGGAAAUCCAUGGGAAUUCAGAUGCUGAGCACCUCACAGCCUCUCAUAAAAGAUCUACUUUGAUUUCCCCUGCGAGCAAAUCUGUGACAAGACCCUGCUAAUGAAUUAGCCUACAGAAAGACAUUUUCCUGCUGUAUGGCAUCUGAGCACAUUUUCAGUGAGAGACUGAAUUAGAUCCAAUAGAUCUCCUAAGGAUGAGGAAAUCCUGUCCAGAGCAGGAAGAGAGUGAAAAAAGUGGUCCACAAAGUGACAACAGAUAGGAGGCACAGAUAUUAAAUUCUGGUAUGAUUUGGCUUCACCAUGCUUGGAAUUUUCUGAAACCACAUAUGAGCAACAUGAACUUUUUAAGUCUUUGUACUGCAAAAUCUUCUUUGUGCUACAGUGGGCAUGUUGCAAAGGACUCUGGUUCAGCCACACAGAAGAGAAGUACUGCAGUACUCUUGCUUUUCUGCAUUCACAGAAUUGCGUUUUUGGUGAGGGCUUUGGUUUGGUCAUGAGAAUGUGAGAGUGCAUUGGUUUAUGUGCUACCUCCUACAGCUUGUGAUUUUAUUUAUAGCAGGUGCUGCACCAUCAACAAAUAGCAAUAAACCACCAACAUCCCCCCCAACUGUCCAAGACACAUUAAAGGCUUUUUUCACAUAAGUUUCAUGUUACUCUCGUAUUUUUGGAUGGUUUAACAGGUCUUUCUGUCUAUGAUAAAAGGAGGAGGUGAACUGGGGUUUUCCUCUUGCCUUGUUUUAUAAACAGCCCCCAUUUCUGCAAGGGACAAAUUAAUUCAUAGAAUCACAGUUACAGAAUGCCCUGAGUUGGAAGGGAUCCACGAGGAUUACCCAGAGGAAUUGUUCUCCAUGCUGAUGUUAAACCCAAGCUAAAUUAUGAAGGGAUGAAAGACAGAUUGCCUGUCUUGAUUUUUCAUUUAAUUUUGCUCCCCUUCCCAUGUACAACAGUUUCAGAAAUAAAACAGCGCAGAAUUUCACAUCUGUCUUCUGAUCUUAUGUGGAAAAUGCUCCCUCUGUUAUUUUAUGUGCAUCAGGUUUGUGUCUCUGUAGCUUAUUAUGCUCUUUUGCAUUUAAAUGCACCUUGAUUGGGUGACUGUAAUGAAGUGGAUGUGCUCAACUCCCAUGUGGCCUUGCAGAAAUAUUUUAUUUUUUAUUUGAUUAGCUUCCUAUGAUUAGUUCUUCAAAAUUUGGUACAUAGAGGUGAAGGAUGAGGCUUGGGUGGGUAAGAAGGGGAUAUUUUGAUGUGGAUAGGCUAUAGCAGAGCUGUUGCCACUGGAGAAAUCUUUCUUAACUUUCUGCCAGAAUCAUUGCAACAAGAAUGAGAGCAAUUAAAUAUUUAUGCCGGAGCCUGGUCGUGGUCAGUUUUUACUUUUUCAUUACACCAAUAGCAUGUCCACAGCUGAGCUGCAGCUCUCAACUCUUGAUCUCAGCCUGUCUUCAAUCCAAGCUGAUGCUUCCUGCCUGGUUUAAAUUAAUGUCUUCAGAAAAAGCAUUUCCUGUGAGCUGGUGUUAUCUUUUAAAAGUGUGGAUUUACUGUGGUUUACCAUUUGUGAGAAAAAUAAAGAGGAGCUAGAUACAAGUUGAACUGUCCGUGAUCAAAGUUUUUUCUUUUUUUUGAAUGUGUGUUUUUGGAACAAAUGUCCUCCAGCUUCUCAAGCUGGAGGAUAGCAUUUAAUUUGAUGAGUUAGGUUUACUAAGUGUAAUUACUUAAUCUCUUACACUAAAUUAUUGACUUUAUUGAUGUUAUUUAAUUAAAUCCUGCAUUCUGCAUUUAAUUUUUUUGAUAGAAUUCGGAGUCAGCUGCAGCAGCACAGUGAAGAAAUCAGGGAUGUAGGGGCAGAGUUUGGAUCCAGCUUGCUGGAAAGUGGGAGAAGUCUGAUGUUUAUGUUAAAAAUCUGCCCACAAGGAGCCACAAACUUGUAAAACAGGGCUAAAGUUCUUUGUUCAGUCAGUGUUCACCCUUUGUGUGAUUUCUGCUGUGUGCACAAUUGAUUCUAGGAGGAACUGUACUAGCUUGUUUUGCCCCCUGAAUCACUACCCUGUCUGGAUGAGUUUGAAAUAUCAAAAGCCACAGAAUUAUUCUAUGAAAAUGGAUAAACAGCAUCCUGCAGGUCAUUUCUACAGGACUGUCCCUGAAGCUGGCAUGGACCUGCCAGCCCCUUAAACCACACACCACACAAAGUGGAGUGAGGGAGGAGGAGGAGACCUUUGGAUGUGGAGUCUGAAAAAUCUCCUUUAGACCUUAUCAGGCCACACAGCACAAGGCAGACCAAUUUGUCCAAGCCCAAGGAGUCCCUUUCAGUAGCCAAAGGUUUAUUGUAAAGAUUUAUUUUAAAAUGUCAGUUCCUCAUGUCAGGCUGACUGUCUUGUAGUUCCCUGUCUUCUUGAAGACGUUUGCUGCCACCUUUGUUUUGUAUCCUGCUUUUUUGGGACAGACCAUUGUUGAGUUCAGUGGAGCUAAUCCUUGAAAACCAGUCCCAUCCUGAGCCUCUUUUCUCUACAGGACUCUCUGCCACUGGAUUUCUCAUGUGAACACAGACUCUUGGGCAGAAUAAAGUCUGUUCUCUUAAAGUCCAGGCUUGAUUGUGAUUUUGGUUUUGUAUUUUCCCCUUCUUUUCAGGAACAAAAACAUCUCAUGAUUACUGCCAACUUUUAUGUCCCUGACCAGUUCUCUGUCUUCUUAAAAAUAAAUGGAGUAUAAGAAGAAAGAGAAGAUAAAGGAAAAUUAAGAAAAGGCAUAGAAAAUAUUUAUAUAUUUGAAAAUUAAACAUAUAUGUUCCUAGUAGUCUAUAAAGUGAAAAUAAUCACACAAAUUUUAAUCUAAUUAUAUUUUCAGAUUGUAAUAAUUCUCAGAAGUAACAAAAUUAAUGAUUUGUGAAGUCUCCUGUUCUGAAGGUACUGUGGUUUCUGUUUUCUGUCUGAAGUCUUGACCUAGCCUUAAGCAAAAAUGAGCAACUUUUUUCUUCACAAAUCAAAGAGUUGAGGUGGAAAGGCUGAUACUGUUGGACAGUGAAACUGUUGUGGAAAAGGGCUGGCAAUACAAGCAUAUGAUUUAAUAAUGGAUUCCACAGAUUGAACCAUUCCAAUAUAUUCUCUUGCUCCAUGAACGUGACAUUAGAAAUAGCUCAGAGUUUGGUGCAACUAUGGCAGGAACUGGAGGUCUGAAAUGAUAGAGGUUUGUUCUGGAGUGGAAUAAUUCAAGUUUCCUGUGUGGGUCACCACAAUAAUUAUUUCUCAUCUUGCAGUUGCCCUGUUUCAGUCAGAUGGUAAUGGUUGCUUUGCCACCCUGCAGAGUCACAUAUGGAGAAUAGAACACAGGCACCACCUGUUCUACUGUUACAUUUCAGCUUCCUCCUGGGGAGCUAAGGUAACCCCCCCCCCCUCAAUUUUCUUGUCCCAAUUCUCAAACUCUUGUGUUUUGCUGUGUUGUUAAUGUGAAUAAAUAAAUAGGUAUAAUUAAAGAUGUUGAUACAGAUCAAAUGCACCUGCACUGCUUUCAUUGACAGUGCUUGCAGUGAAAGAGAAAUGCAAUCUGUAAAUUAUCCCACUAGAAAUACCUGUUUACUAUGUGAGGAAAUUUAAUUCCUCACCUUUUUCAUCUUGGUCAAGCCAAAAUUGCUUAUUUAUAUGACGUGAAGAAUGCUAGAUACCUUUGCUCCCCCAGUCAAAGCAAGCUUCUCUGUCUAACAAUGAUUUAUGGAACAUCCAUCAGAGCAGCAAUUUAAUCACAAAAGAUCGACCUCUUUGUGAACUAUUGUCAUUACUUAAACCAUUUUGUAUUCCAAAAAGCUGGUGUAUGACAUAAUUCCUUAUGUAUAUUACUUUUCUGCUAAUAAUAUGCUCUGUCAUUAGAAAUCAUUCCAAAGUGCUGAGAGGAAAGCUCAUAUGCCCCUCAGGGAAAUCCAGAUCCAUGUCCAGGCUUUGUGGCAGAUGGGACUUCUAAAUUCCAAGUAAAGCAACAUUUUAAAAAGCAACACUUAAAAGCAUGUGACAGGGAUAAAAAGGAACACUUCUCUCUGAAUGUGAAACACAGAACUGCCAAGAAACAGAGAAGACAAAGAACAGAGAGGAACAAGGACAUCAAGAACAAAGGUUCUUCUGUUUCAUCUACUACCUGCUGGAUUACUGCAGUGAUUCUAGGGAUCCUCUUCUUGACAUUGCUGGGAAUAAUAGUUUUAUGGCUUUAUUAUCAAGGGUAAAUAAUGGUUUUAUUAUCAAGGGUGUAAUAAUAAUAAUGGUUUUAUUAUCAAGGUUUUAUAAUAAUAGUUUUAUUAUCAAGGGUAAAUAAAUCUCCUUCACUGAAAAUACUUCCUUUGAAUGUAGAACUUUGUCAGGGAGCACAGCAGAGCUCUGCUCAUUGGUCCAAGAAGAGCAUGGACCUUUUCUCUUUAAAAGAAGACUUACUCUCACACCUAUUUCCAUCUGGAAAAUGGAUGCUCUUCACGGAUUCCUUCAGAGGCUGUGAUCCUUUACCAGUCUCAGGAAAGCUCCAGGGCUGGCAUUACUGUAACUGGGGAGAAUAAUUUUCUGAAAGAAUGCAUUUGUGAAAUGUACUUGUAAGGAACUAGGCAUGACUAUGAGUGGGAAGAGACGUGUAUGAUUCUUUUUCAGGCUGCCCAUGUCCGUGCUGCCCUGAGCAGUGGGUGAUCUUCAGAGGCAGGUGUUACUCCUUCUCCAAGGAGAAGGACUGGAAUUCCAGCCAGGAAUCUUGCUGGGCACAGGGAGCUUAUCUCCUGGUGAUCAGCAAUACCAGUGAAAUGGUGGGUGCCUUUGCAGGGGCAAGGGCAGGAUGGAGUGGGAGCAAACCCCAGGCACUGUUAUGGCAGUUCCUUCCCUCUGGGAGGAAGGGAGAGUGUAAAAGGCUUCUAGGACCCACCCACCACCUCCCUGCAUUGGCAAAGACAAGGCUUUCCCUUAGACACUCUGCAAGAGGGACUUGCUUCUUUCUGCCUGCCUCAGCUGAGUCUUUUUUGUAAUGAGUUCGGCCCUCAGAACCCACAGCUGGGGAAGCUGACUCUGAAGUGCUGAGUCUCAAAAAGCAGGUCCCUGUAGGAAGGAAGGGAGUAGGUGUUCACAUUCAGAAAUGGCCCCAAAAUUUCCUCUCUCACACAGUGUUUCUUCUUUACCCUUCAAAACCCAUGACUUGACUAAUGGACACAGCUGCUACAUUCGUGUCUGUAGGUCCCACCAGAGACAGCACACGUACAAGCAAAGGACUGUGUUACAGUGAUUGUGCCUGCAAUCAUCAGCUGCUCCCAGAGGCUCAGACCCAUCCCUUGCUUCCCCUCCUCCCCUCUCUUUCCUCCUCGUCCCCUAAAAGUUCCUCAACAAGUUUUGCACAGGCAUGAAGGCCCACCUUGAAUGUACUCAAAUCCUCCUGCUCUGCUUUUACCCCACCUUUCUUAUCUGUUCCAAAGCCCAAGGUGCUCCUGUCCAAUGCUGUGCCUGGAGGUUUUUGAUGGCCCAUCAAUUAGUAGCUGAAGACUUUUUGGUCUUUGCAGUUUUGUCUGUUAUUUCUUGAAUGUUUGUGUCUGUGGAUUUCUGUUUCAUAAUUCUGUCCUCGUUAUGCUCUUUUGUCCUGAACGAGACCUUGAUUGGAUAGCCUUAAUGAAGCAGAGGCUUCCACCUUUCACACACCCAUACAGAUGAUUUUAACUGCAUACUUUAACUGGAAUACUUUAUACUUUCUGUCCCAAAUGCCUUUAGUAGAACAGCAAAAAGUCCCUUGUAGGACAGAACAUUUUGCUCUUUAGUGGUGGGAAAUGGAGAGCCCAGUGUGAGACUGGCAAACUGCAAGCCUCACAUUGAGCUCCAGGCAUCACAAGUCCCACUGCCAGACCUCCUGUGUCCCAGGAUGGAUCCUCCCUGACAUCAGCUCACUGAGUCUAACUGCAGCAGGUCUCUUCCCUCCAAAGCUGUGAGAUGUUCUUCCCCCUGCCAAAGUGGGGAUCCCUCUGUAGUGUUGCUCUGCUUGUGUGCUCUGUCUCUCACAGGGUCGAGUCCACCAGCCCUGUACAGAACUGUACUGUUCUGCUGAAUGGUGCCACCCGUGCUUCCAGCUGUCAAGUCCCUGCCCCAUGGAUCUGUAAGAAAUCUGCUCAGUGACCUCUGUGGACCUUGUCUGAGGAAGUGUUCUUUGGAUAGCUCUGCUAAGGCCUGAUUCCUGUGAAGUUUCUCUGAGAGGAGCUGUGCUCCUUGCUCCUGUGCCAGCUGCCACACUGCGAGGAAUGAAUGCAGCUGCCACAGGAGUCUGAGCGCUGCUCCUGGCUUCAUUCACGAUCACUCUGGUGAUGUUCACAUUCAUAGCCCUCCCCUAGUGACAGUCUUCAAAAUGAAGGGGGAGGAGAGAUUCCUCUGAGAUGCUCAGUCAUUUUCAGAGGUAUUUGAGCACUAUCACUGCUGUUUUGAAGUCCUAGGGAGAGGUGAGCUGUAAUCUGUGAGCUCAUGCAAGCUCUGAGUUUAUUCCUUUUUUUGUAACACUGGUGACAUGCACCAAAGCUGAAAGCUAGCCUGAAGUUUGAAGAUAGCCUAUUUUUGCAAAUGAUCAGAUGAUGUCCACAGUACCCUUCUAACCUAAAUUCUUCUGUGGUUUAUGUUUGUACCUGGAGAAAACUGGAGCAGGGCUUCUGGUGUUAACACUGCUGUGUGAAUAGCUGUGAAGGAGUGAACCUGCUACCCUGCUGAGCUGAAAAUAAACAUGAAUUGCUUCUAACAAUUUCUUCACUAGUCACUUUUUCUGUUUUCCUGCCCAGUAUUAUUGCUUAGUGCAUUUGUUGAUUUAUGAAAAGGCAGAAGGAAGCUGGUGGCAGGAACAGAGUCAGGAGAGCAGGGGGUGAAAUACUUCGCAAUAACACUGCAGCAGAAGAAGUACAGCCACAGCCACUGAAGAGUUUCCUACCCCAAGGUAUUAAGGACUGACAAAUUUACUUUUUUCUGUAGCCAAAUCACUGCAUCUCUUCAUCUCCCAGUCCCUUUGUCCUAAGACCCACCUUGGCCAUGGUUCAAGUGCCCUGCACUACCCCUGAGUGGUCUGUUUUCCCCCUGCUCAGAGUUUCCUCCAGAACAAGUCUCUCCCUAAAGAACAGGUCUAAAGAAGUCCUGCCAGACCCCUCAUCCAGCACUUCUCCCCAUGGGAUUCAGCAGACAGAUAAAUAUAACUCCAAUUUUUGUGGCAAGUAGGCCACAAUCAAAAAUGUCCUGUGCUGUGCAACAACACCUUGACUACAUGACAGGAUAACUGUGAUGACUUUUUAGGGACAAUCUGGUGGUAUUUUAUGACAGUAUCUCUUAAAAUACCGGUGAUUAUGUUUUUGGGUUCAUUGCCCUAAGCAGUCACAAAAUAUUUUAUUAAAAUUAGCUGAAAGAAGUAUGUUUGUUACAGAAAUAAAGAUGUUUUUUACCAAUAACAUUGAGAUUCUAGUGUAACACCCAGGACGUCUGAGAUGACAAAAUAGUUGUUGCCUAAAGAAUAUUUCUGAAAACAAACAUCUUUAGUACUCCUUUGGUAUUAAAAACCCGUAAGGUUAAUUCAUGUUAUGCAAGAGUAGCUUAUUAUUUUCCUGCAUUCUUUAUAGGUAUCUUAAAGAAUGUUUAAUUCUCAUCAUACCUUAGUUAUUUUCAAAUUGUUACCUAUUCAGAAGCAAUUUGAAAAGUUACUUGUUUGUGUUCUUUAGUUUUAUAUAAGAGCUAUUCACUUUGAAUUACAAAACCCAACAGAGCAUGUAAGAAAAACAGGAAUGGGUGCUCCAAAUACUUCAGUAAAUUCUGUUGUUUUCUGUAUUUCUUCCUAGCAGAUUGCAAAGCAAACCAGGCAGGAUCCUUGGCUUUUAAAUUCCUCUCACCUGGGGUGUUGUUUCAGCCUCUGAGGAGCAGUCUCCUGUUUAAUAUGUAUGAUAGCUCCUCAUGAAUAUACAAGUCUUUUCUCUGCACAUGGAAUUUUUGUCCCAUUCUCCCUAUAGAGUCUGAGGCAUGAAAGAAAUAGGAUUGUGUUACUUCUGCAAGUUUGUGACUUUUCCAUAAUCAACUAUAAGAUUUACAAACUAUACUGACAGCACUGGAGAUGUGGGAAAUUAUUUGGGCUAUGGAAUGAAACCAGUGCGUACACAUUUUAAGAAAAAAAAAAAAAUAUUACAGCACAGCUUUCUUUUAAAGGCACUCUACACUGCUGAGCUGCUCAUCAGAAAAACAGAAGUAUAAUAUUAAAUAUAUAUGCCUUGCUUUCUGUCAUGGUGAAAACCCUGUUAUCUUUCUGUUCUAUGCUGCCUUCAGGGUGUUAAAUGGCAAAACUUUUUCCUAUGGUAUUUUAUAUGACUUGAAAGCAUUUCUGCUGUGUACACAGUGUUGGGAAAAAAAACUUGCAGAAAAAAAACAAGUUUAGAUAAUAGCACUUUUAAAAUAAUUUGUAUCUCUAGUCUAUUUUGUUUAGUAAUAUUAAUCACAGAGGAAGAAGGGAAUUUUUCACUGUGAUCUGACUUCCUUUGUAUUGUCAACAUUUUGUAUUUUGGAUAUUAGAGGGGUGAAAUAUCCAUAUCCAUUAAUUCCACUAUUGAGGUUUGGGGUGGAACUUUCAGCUGAUUUUCUGCUGAGAACUUCUAAGAAUAGCUAAAGAAAGCAGAAGAAAAUAUCAUGUGUGUAAAAAAAUCCUGUAUUAUCAACUUCCUACAGGAGCAGAUGCUGCCAGAUCUGGCAGUUCUCAGCACUUUGAACCUUAAAAAUAUGCUUUGCAACAGUAAUUAACUAGCAGCAAGUAAUAUGUUUGAAAUAAACUUCCAAUUAAAUGUAAUGUUUCUGCAGACGUGCAUUUUGAUAUUUUCAAUUAGUGUAAAUUCCUUUAAAUUUUUUUUUUUCAUUACUUCUGGACCAAAGUCUUGUCAGUUGACAUCAAAUAAAGCAUGUGAGUGAGUCAGACCUGCUAA